rnacentral:rRNA from 1 species
GACGAACGCUGGCGGCGUGCUUAACACAUGCAAGUCGUACGGUAAGGCCCUUUCGGGGGUCCACGAGUGGCGAACGGGUGCGUAACACGUGAGUAACCUGCCCACAACUUUGGGAUAACGCUAGGAAACUGGUGCUAAUACUGGAUAUGUGCUCCUGCUGCAUGGUGGGGGUUGGAAAGCUCCGGCGGUUGUGGAUGGACUCGCGGCCUAUCAGCUUGUUGGUGGGGUAGUGGCCUACCAAGGCGGCGACGGGUAGCCGGCCUGAGAGGGUGACCGGCCACAUUGGGACUGAGAUACGGCCCAGACUCCGACGGGAGGCAGCAGUGGGGAAUAUUGCACAAUGGGCGCAAGCCUGAUGCAGCAACGCCGCGUGCGGGAUAACGGCCUUCGGGUUGUAAACCGCGUUCAGCAGGGACGAAGCUUUUUGUGACGGUACCUGCAGAAGAAGCACCGGCUAACUACGUG